AAAAUGUCGUCUUCCGGCUCAGCGACGACGACUUGGACGGGGAUUUCUUGUCACCGGAGACGCAGCCGCAGGGGCACAGAGAAUGGGGUGGGACCUGUGCCCAUGAGAGGGGCGUGUCUGCAUGGCAGUGGGCGUGGCUUGUGGCAGCAGAGGGAGGUGCCGAGGUAACGGGAGAUCCAGCCCUGCCAUGGACCCCAGGUGGAACAGGAGAACAGCAGAGGAGCAGGCCUGCGUGGGAUAGAGGAGUGCUGCAGAUUCCCCGGCACUCACUGACCGUGAAGAAGAACAAAAAGCUGUAAGCAGCUUAAGGAAUUUGUCAUCUGGAUGAUGUUAUGUCUUGGUACCCCAUGCCUCUGGUGGGAACAGGUAGAUAAGGUCUUAUGUUAGUAGAAAGAGCACUUUGAGGUGUAAAUUGUAGAUCAAUCAGUAGAUACUGGGAUACUAUGUAAGUCUUGCAAGCCACACAAUAAACGAUGCUGAUUGUGCAGAAUUGCACAGCAAUUGGGGUCCAUGCCUUCAUGUGUUCCAUCAUGUCGUAAUUAAAAAAGACUUGAAACUGCAAUGAAGGAAAAACUUGUGUUGUAGAGGAAGAAAUGUAAAAGACAAAGGUAAUAAAAAAU